rnacentral:rRNA from 1 species
UACAGAGGGUGCGAGCGUUGUUCGGAAUUAUUGGGCGUAAAGGAUGCGUAGGCGGACAUUUAAGUCAGAUGUGAAAUACCCGAGCUUAACUUGGGUGCUGCAUUUGAAACUGGGUGUCUAGAGUGCAGGAGAGGUAAGUGGAAUUCCUAGUGUAGCGGUGAAAUGCGUAGAGAUCGGGAAGAAUACCCGUGGCGAAGGCGGCCAGCUGGGCCAGGUCCGACACUGAGGCGCGAAAGCGCGGGGAGCAAACAGG